rnacentral:lncRNA from 1 species
AGGCAAGGAUUCACUGACCUUAGUGUUUGUGGAGACCAAAAAGGGUGCAGAUUCUCUGGAGGAUUUCUUAUACCAUGAAGGAUACGCAUGUACCAGCAUCCAUGGAGACCGUUCUCAGAGGGAUAGAGAAGAGGCCCUUCACCAGUUCCGCUCAGGAAAAAGCCCAAUUCUAGUGGCUACAGCAGUAGCAGCAAGAGGACUGGACAUUUCAAAUGUGAAACAUGUUAUCAAUUUUGACUUGCCAAGUGAUAUUGAAGAAUAUGUACAUCGUAUUGGUCGUACAGGACGUGUAGGAAACCUUGGU